CUUUUGAAUUCGCACUUUCAGAGACUUGUUGUAGGCAUAUAACGUAAUAACACGCUAGGAGCCCGACGUAACUCGAACUCUGGACAUCCUGCUUUUAUAUAUACCAUGUGAAACAAUCGCUGUACUCUAAAAGUUUAAGCUAUUACAGAAUGAUAUUUUAAUAUUUUUAUGUUUAACAAUACGCAAAAUUUAUGUUGAAACUUGAAAGAGAGAAAAAAAAGCAAAACAAAAUU
rnacentral:lncRNA from 1 species